GUGGCGUUAAGAUGAUUGAGUGGUCACACCAUGGUCACAGAAAGCCUCGCAACCCGCAUUAAUACUGACUAUGCCUUACCCCUCCUAAGGGGAAGGUCGUACGUUCGAAUCGUAUCGGGGGCACCA
rnacentral:tRNA from 1 species